rnacentral:tRNA from 1 species
CGCGGGUGGAGCAGCUCGGUAGCUCGCUGGGCUCAUAACCCAGAGGUCGCAGGUUCAAAUCCUGUCCCCGCAACCG